rnacentral:hammerhead_ribozyme from 1 species
CUGCCACUGAGGAGUCCAACAAUAGAACGAAACGAUCGUCCAG